rnacentral:rRNA from 1 species
UACGGGGGGAGCAAGCGUUGUUCGGAUUUACUGGGCGUAAAGAGCUCGUAGGCGGUUUGACGCGUCUGCCGUGAAAGUCCGGGGCUCAACUCCGGAUCUGCGGUGGGUACGGGCAGACUAGAGUGAUGUAGGGGAGACUGGAAUUCCUGGUGUAGCGGUGAAAUGCGCAGAUAUCAGGAGGAACACCGAUGGCGAAGGCAGGUCUCUGGGCAUUAACUGACGCUGAGGAGCGAAAGCAUGGGGAGCGAACAGG